AUGUUACAAGUACAACCCCCAUGUCUUCUGCUGUUACAGGACGCGAUUACCAGAAGCGGAGGCAGGAUCAGCUCCUUGCCCACACUCUGGAACUGGAGAGCACUGCAAGGCUACCUUCUGGGUCCCCAUGACUGCUGUUUGCAGAAUUUCUGGGCAAGAAAAACAUCAUAUCAGUUCAUAGACCCAUCCAACACGGGUGCCCCACCACUAGGCAUGCUCCAAUGGAAGGCAAGUGUUAAGAGCGGCUGUUAGCUGGUCUUCCCCCUAGGAGCUGCCCUGGUCACUAUGGUACAAAAUCCCAACCACACAGUGGAGGUCACUGGAUCCUGGUUCUUUUUCUGGAUCAUCAUGAGUCAAAAGAGUGACUUAUGAAAAAAAAUAAACACAAACUGGCCAGGGAACUUCAUUUUUUUUUUUUCAACUAAUGGGGCAAACUUGCCUGAUCCUGUGUAUGAUGGUGAAAAUAAAUCUCAAAUGUAUCUACUGGAAAAUGUUCACACAAUAAACAUGGACAACAACCAGCUGUCAUAACAAUUCUUUAUUGACAAGUGAUGAAAGUUAAAGAACUGAACUUCUGUCUGUGAUUAGCACUGGAAGAGACUAAUGAAAAAGACUAGACAGAACUGUCAGUCAUUUGGUGGAGGAGAAACAUGACUAAAGCCUAUGAAAAGCAAAUUCUAACCUGUACAUAAAAAGGAGAAGAUAAAUCUUUAAAUGGAAUAAGAAGAUACUAAUUUUAAGGAAAGAGUAAAGCCAGACCAUUUUGUUUAUGUGAAAGAGUAAAAUCAGACCAUUGUUUAUGUGAAAAAGAGUAAAACCAGAAAUUUUUUUUUAAGUGAAAAGCAGGUUCAAAGUUGUUCUAAGCCAAUGACGACAGCCCUGCCUUCCUCUUAAGUAUGAAGAAAUCAUAAAUGAAGCUGUGGAACAUAUUAUUCUUUCUAUUUAUUAAACAUUGCUGACAAGAAACUGCUUGCAUGUAGAGACAGUAUUUGCAUCUUCUCAUAGCUUACUGCUUUCAAAGGAGAACAUGAAAUGCUG
rnacentral:lncRNA from 1 species